CCACAUGGAAAGGAAUUUUCUGGAUUUGCCAUCUCAUCCAACAGUGAGAGGUUUUCUUGUUUAAUAUUAUUCCAUUUCUGUUUAAUCAACAGGGUUUUCCCACUUCUCUCCAAGGAAAUCUCUUUUCCCGGAGCAGUUGGUGGAGGGGCCGCUCAGAUUUGCUUUUCUGGGGACCGCAUUUGGAGGUUCUCUCCCAAAUGUGCCCUAAACCAGGAGAGGCUGGACGAGGUGAGGAGUGCGGACACACAGGGACACAGGGACACACAGGGACACACAGGGACACACAGGGACACACGGACACACAGACACACAUGGACACACAGACACACAGACACACAUGGACACACAGACACACAGACACAGGGACACACAGGGACACACAGACACAGGGACACACAGACACACAGGGACACACAGACACACAGGGACACAGGGACACACAGACACACAGACACAGGGACACACAGGGACACACAGACACAGGGACACACAGGGACACACAGAGACACACAGACACACAGGGACACACAGACACACAGGGACACACAGACACACAGACACAGGGACACACAGGGACACACAGACACACAGGGACACACAGGGACACAGACACACAGGGACACACAGACACACAGGGACACACAGACACAGACACAGGGACACACAGGGACACAGACACACAGGGACACAGGGACACACAGGGACACAGGGACACACAGGGACACACGGACACACAGACACAGACACAGGGACACACGGACACACAGGGACACACACGGACACUCGGACACGGGGACACACAGACACACAGACAGGGACACAGACACACAGGGACACGGGGACACAGAGACACACAGACACAGGGACAUACAGGGACACACAGACACACAGACACACAGGGACACAUGGAUAAAGAGGGACACACGGACACAGACACACAAAUACACAGGGACACACAGACACACACAGACACACAGACACUCAGACACACACAGACACACGGACACAGGGACAGAGGGACAAGAGGAAGUGAGCCCACAGAUGGAAUAUCCCCCGUGGAGCAGCUGGCUGUCAGCACAGCAGAUUUCCAGGAUCACAUGUUUUCAGAGCCCACCUUGCACCACACAGCACGGAGCUUUCUUUUCCCCAAGAAAAACCCUUCCCAAAGCGGCUACUCCACUCAGCACCAUCUUCCUUCCUCCUCCUCCUCCUCCUCAUUCCCCCUUUGUGCUCUGCUGGCCUCGGGAUGGGCCUCGGGAAUACUGGGACAGCUGUCCAUGGAAACACGGAGCAUUUUUAACCUUUACACCGGGAUUGUUUGCUCAAGCAGAGCCCAGAGAAGGGCAGAUGGCAGCACAGCCUGA
rnacentral:lncRNA from 1 species